rnacentral:sRNA from 1 species
UGUCUUGGGCUGCACACGUGCUACAAUGGCCGGUACAAUGAGCUGCGAUGCCGUGAGGUGGAGCGAAUCUCAAAAAGCCGGUCUCAGUUCGGAUUGGGGUCUGCAACUCGACCCCAUGAAGUCGGAGUCGCUAGUAAUCGCAGAUCAGCAUUGCUGCGGUGAAUACGUUCCCGGGCCUUGUACACACCGCCCGUCACGUCACGAAAGUCGGUAACACCCGAAGCCGGUGGCCCAACCCCUUGUGGGAGGGAGCUGUCGAAGGUGGGACUGGCGAUUGGGACGAAGUCGUAACAAGGUAGCCGUACCGGAAGGUGCGGCUGGAUCACCUCCUUUCUAAGGAGCAUUUCUUGGCUGCUGUUUCGGUGGUCUAGAGGCUGGUUCAUCAGCGCGUGUCUGAUGCUGGUUGCUCAUGGGUGGAACGUUGACUAUUCGGCAUGGUUCGGGAUGGAUCGGCUGCUAGUACUGCCCUGGUGGGUGUGGAACGCUGGCUGGUUCGGCCGGGGUGUGUCGGGCGCGCUGUUGGGUGUCUGAGGGUAUGGCCGUGAGGCUGCCUUCGGUUGCUGGUCCCGGUGUUCCCGGACGGUUGGUUCGGGGUGAUGGGUGGCUGGUCGUUGUAUGAGAACUGCACAGUGGACGCGAGCAUCUGUGGCCAAGUUUUUAAGGGCGC